AAUAUCAACUCCCCCAGACUUAGCUUUUGCUUGCCCUCAAGCAAAACACAAAAGCCGACACUACAAGAAAACAGGUAAACGACGACUACAAUCAGCGACAACAAACAAAGUCGUAACAUUAUACGACUAUUUGGCGACGGAUUUACGACUCGCAUGCGACAACACGAAAAAUUAUAGUUACAUAGUCGUUGUUUUACGUCUAUCGUAUGCAGUCGGCAAAGAGUCGGCAAGUAACGACUAUUUGACGAUUAUAUUAUUGAAGGGAUAAUGUUGUCGUUGCUUAGUCGCUAAUUAACGACUAUUCUACCGUCUAUUUUAUUUAGUCGCUAAUUUGGCGACUACAGGACGACUAGACGUCUUAGUCGGCCUGUAGUCGUAGAAACGUUGCACCGUAGUCGUAUAUAGUAGAUGGAAGACGUGUUUCGCAUUGGUAAGUAGGUACACCUAAUUAUUUAGUUGUAGUCGUAAAUUAGUCACAAAAAUUGGCCUAUAUAAUAAAUGUUCACGCAACUCUUCUUUCACCAACAAAUCAAAACAACAACAACAUCAAAGAGAAAAAAAAAAUAGUUACUUUAUUGUAUAAUGGCGGGAAACUACAAUUAUGGCGGUACUGGCGGUUUCUAUCGAGAUUGGGUGUACAAGAGAUUUGAUGAAGUGACGGGGAAUUUGUCAGCCGAAUACGUCGCAGGAGUUGAGCAAUUCAUGACAUUCGCUAAUAGUCAGCCAAUAGUACAGAGUAGUCGAGGUAAAUUUCAUUGUCCUUGUAGUGUAUGCAAGAAUGAAAAACACAUCAUCUCGGGUAGAAGAGUUAGUAGUCAUUUGUUUAGUCAUGGAUUUA
rnacentral:sRNA from 1 species